rnacentral:lncRNA from 1 species
AAAACCAAAUAGAUGAAGAUGAAUUCAUUGCUUUAACAGAAAGAGAAGACGUUCAGGACGAACGUCUUAUACUUGUGGUAGGUCAUAAAAUGAAAUUUUUUGAAGGCUCUGGUGGGCGAUUGUAAAACCAUUAGCCUGCGAGCAGGCUCUCAUCUUCGAGCCUGAUCGCAGGCUAAAUUCCCAUAUAAUUAUUUUAAAUUUAAAAACUCCCAGCAAAAUAUACAAAAGGACUUGAGGCUCGACUUGAGCACAGAGUAGAUACAUAUUCCAUAUUUAAUUUAAAAUUAAACUGCCAGCAAAAUAUACAAAAGGACUUGAGGUGAGUAUUUUACAUGUAUUAUCAUUGUAUUUUAUUAUCUACUAUACCUUAGAAAGGUUGGGGUGAGGCAAACCCUUCGGUUUUGACAUUUUUCAUCACAUGAAUCAACAUUUUCAAAUUAAUAUAACUUCAGUUCAGUAUUUUUAUGACUACAAACAAAUACUGUAAUGAAUUUGUAAAUUCGUUGUCCUCCCUGCCAAAGACGGCUGAUUUUCUCCAGUUUCGAAGUUUGAACGACAUAUAUGUCUACUCUUUUGCACUCUGGUGUUGCUGUGCAAGUGUGGCGACAAGCCGCCUGUCGCCGGCACCCCUCUUUGGUGGCUGAUUAACAAAUUGGCCGCCUGAUAUUGGGGACUUGUAUAUAGACAUAUAUGUGCAUGACAUUAAAAAAAUAAAGCUUUUUGCAUAUCAUUAAUUAACCUGGCAACCUGCCAAAGACGGCUGAUUUUCUCCAGUUUCGAAGUUUGAACGACAUAUAUGUCUACUCUUUUGCACUCUGGUGUUGCUGUGCAAGUGUGGCGACAAGCCGCCUGUCGCCGGCACCCCUCUUUGGUGGCUGAUUAACAAAUUGGCCGCCUGAUAUUGGGGACUUGUAUAUAGACAUAUAUGUGCAUGACAUUAAAAAAAUAAAGCUUUUUGCAUAUCAUUAAUUAACCUGGCAAUUUGAAAGAAUUAUAUAUUCUCCAGUUUGGAACAACAUAUAUAUCUAUACUUUUGCACUCUGGUGUUGCUGUGCAAGUGUGGCGACCAGCCGCCUUUCGCCGGCAGCCCUUUUUGGUGGCUGAUUAACAAAUUGGCCGCCUGAUAUUGGGGACUUGUAUAUAGGCAUAUAUGUGCAUGACAUUAAAAAAAUGAAAGCUUUUUUGCAUAUGAUUAAUUAACCUGGCAAUUUGAAAGAAUUAUAUAUUCUCCAGUUUGGAACAACAUAUAUGUCUAUACUUUUGCACUCUGGUGUUGCUGUGCAAGUGUGGCGACAAGCCGCCUUUCGCCGGCACCCCUCUUUGGUGGCUGAUUAACAAAUUGGCCGCCUGAUAUUGGGGACUUGUAUAUAGGCAUAUAUGUGCAUGACAUUAAAAAAAUGAAAGCUUUGUGGAAAUGAUUAAUUCACCUGGCAAUUUGAAAUAAUUAUAUAUUCUCCAGUUUCGAACAACAUAUAUGUCUAUACUUUUGCACUCUGGUGUUGCUGUGCAAGUGUGGCGACAAGCCGCCUUUCGCCGGCACCCCUCUUUGGUGGCUGAUUAAAAUUGGCCGCCUGAUAUUGGGGACUUGUAUAUAGGCAUAUAUGUGCAUGGCAUUAAAAAAAUAAAAGCUUUUUGGAAAUGAUUAAUUAACAGUCCUGGCAAUUUGAAAGAAUUAUAUUCUCCAGUUUUGAACAACAUAUAUGUCUAUACUUUUGCACUCUGGUGUUGCUGUGCAAGUGUGGCGACAAGCCGCCUUUCGCCAGCACCCCUCUUUGGUGGCUGAUUAACAUUGGCCACCUGAUAUUGGGGACUUGUAUAUAGACAUACAGGUAUAUGUGCAUGACUUUAAAAAAAUGAAAGUUUUUUGGAAUUUAUGAUUCAUAUAACCUUGCAAUUUGAGGGAAUUACAUUCUCCAGUUUUGAACAACACUAUUGUCUAUACUUUUGCACUCUGGUGUUGCUGUGCAAGUGUGGUGACAAAGCCACCUUUCGCCGGCACCACUCUUUGGUGGCUGAUUUGCAUGGUGGCUGAUUAAUUGGGGACUACAGUUAUUGUAUAUCGAUAUAUGAAUAAUAUAAAAAUAUUUAAGUGUUUAGAAAUUAUUAGGUAUAAAAACUCAUAUGAAACAUUAACCUAGAAAUUUGAAAGAAUAUUAUUCAGUCUAAAUCUCAGUGGCAGUGUGUAUUAAUUUUAUUUAUUAUUUUAUAUCAUACUACUGUAUAUUGUUAUUGUAUAUUAUACUAUAUGUGGUUUUGGCAUUUCCUUACUCAAAUAAUAACCAUGUAUAAGUGUUAUGUUAGAGCACACCCAAACCGGGGGCUAUGUUCCUUCUAUUUAUCUAGGAAAGUUAAGAUGUAGACAGCUUCGUGUCAAGCAAAGACCCAAAAGAAUUGCCAUUUCUUGUAAUGGUUGUCUGGCGACCGUUGAAUGCAAUUUCUCAAAUCUUUAUUGUCGCUGACUUGCUGGUACUUUUUCGAGUUAAGGUUGUAAUUGUGGAACUGAUGGCAUGAACUCACAUUCUCUUUUCGAGAGGAGGUUAAUUAAUGAAAUUAGGAAUGCCGACAUAUACAAGUAAUAUGAACUGAAUAAAAUCUGAACUCAGUAGGAGAGGGCAAUUGCUCUUGUAUUGUAUUUUCAGUAGGUAUCGUUUAUAACUCAUUGCAGUAUUUGCAUCAGUUUGGUUCGAAUGUUGCAUCUUUACUCUGAACGGAGUGCGUACAACCAUGCAUGCAUGUAUUGUAGGUCAAAAUCACUUUGUUUGUUACUACUGUGUAUGCUAAUUUUAAUUUGUACUAAAUAUUGGUAGAAUACAUUAUUUUCACUGACACAGUUGUGUUGAGAUG